rnacentral:rRNA from 1 species
AGAGUUUGAUCAUGGCUCAGAUUGAACGCUGGCGGCAUGCCUUACACAUGCAAGUCGAGCGGCAGCGCGGGGCAACCCUGGCGGCGAGCGGCGAACGGGUGAGUAAUGCAUCGGAACGUGUCCUCUUGUGGGGGAUAACCAGUCGAAAGACUGGCUAAUACCGCAUGAGCUCGUAAGAGGAAAGCGGGGGAUCCGCAAGGACCUCGCGCGAGAGGAGCGGCCGAUGCCCGAUUAGCUAGUUGGUGGGGUAACGGCCUACCAAGGCGACGAUCCGUAGCUGGUCUGAGAGGACGACCAGCCACACCGGAACUGAGACACGGUCCGGACUCCUACGGGAGGCAGCAGUGGGGAAUAUUGGACAAUGGGGGAAACCCUGAUCCAGCGACGCCGCGUGUGUGAAGAAGGCCUGCGGGUUGUAAAGCACUUUUAGUGGGGACAAAAAGCUACGGAUUAAUACUCUGUGGUCUUGAUUUAACCCAAAGAAAAAGCACCGGCUAACUCUGUGCCAGCAGCCGCGGUAAUACAGAGGGUGCGAGCGUUAAUCGGAAUUACUGGGCGUAAAGCGCGCGUAGACGGUUUUGUAAGUCAGAUGUGAAAUCCCUGGGCUCAACCUGGGAACUGCAUUUGAGACUGCAUGGCUAGAGUAUCGAAGAGGGAAGUGGAAUUUCCGGUGUAGCGGUGAAAUGCGUAGAUAUCGGAAGGAACACCAGUGGCGAAAGCGACUUCCUGGUCGAAUACUGACGUUCAUGUGCGAAAGCGUGGGGAGCAAACAGGAUUAGAUACCCUAGUAGUCC